rnacentral:lncRNA from 1 species
CUAUUGAUGAUCGAAUAUUUUAUUAUGAUUUUAAAUACUUAUAUUACUACAUAACAUCGAAUAUGAAUAAUAGUGAUAUUUGGUUAAAGAUACCUGACUGCAGAUUAAGAACUAAUGUGUUAUUUAUUUAUAAAACUGCUAGAUUAAAUUUGACUAGAAGAUCUUUUCCUUAUCGUCUAAUUGAUAAACAGAACUUGAUAACGUGUGAUCUAUUCAACCUUAGUCGUUUGGGAUUUGCUAAAUUUCUAAAGGAAAAUGUCCUGCAUUCGAAAUAUAUGUUAUAACUGACUAUGUUGUAUGUUAUCCAUUGUUAAUUGUCUGUGAUGUAGUGAUCUUUUGUAUUAUUAUCUUUGUUUUUAUGUAUGGG